rnacentral:lncRNA from 1 species
AAUUUUAAGUGUAAGUGAUUAAGUCUAAUAUAAUUAUGAAUGAGAAAAAUGUUGAAUUUAUAAAAGAUGUUAUUCAUUAACAUACUGCCUUAAGGUUUUGGAUGGACAAAUACAUGUACUAAUACUAACUUAGUACAUAACUCUCACUCACAAGCUCAAAAUACACGCUCACAUGUCCAAUACGACCUACCAGAUUCACACGAAUACAAAUGUUAGAAAGUAGUUUUUUUUUCUUACUUUAUUAGUAACAUUAUCAAACUAAUCUAGUAUGGUUUUUGCUUACUUUAUUAGAUUCAUUUGAAAUUAUAUUUUUAUUUCAUAUAUAUAUAGGGAGUGUAUCCGGUGAGAACUGAUAAAUAUUAUAAGAAAUGAGAACAAUUGAUAAUAACCCUUAGAUUUAACUAACGUAUCAUAUUAAAAUUCUCUCAAUCACAUAAAACCUCACGUGAUCAUACCUGUGUAGAUUGAAAAAUCUUCCUAAAUAUAAUCUUUCCUAAUUUAUUCCUAUAAUCUUUCUUAAUUUAAUUUAUUAUUAACUCAGAAACUGUUCAAUAAUUCUAUUCUAACACUUGAUCAUUCAUUCCGCUUGUUCAAUUCCCUCUAAGAAAAUGGACAAUAAUUCUAUUCUAUUCUAACACUUGAUCAUACUUGGCUUUUUUGUGUUCAUGUUUGAGGUUUUUGAGAUAGAAAAUGGACAAUAAUUCUAACCCAAGAUGUGUGCAUUUGUUGAGCUAAACAAAAUGAAAAAUUACCAUAACAAUUAAUUAAAUACAGCAACACAUAAGUCAUGUUGGUGCUUUCUUGAGGAGAGGCCUCGAGUCAGGUACUUGUCAAUUUUUAAUUUGUGACAAAGUUGUUGACGAUAUGGAAUUGAUUAAUUGGUUGCAUGUUGUUUGCUUUGCACUCCUAGCUCGAUGUUUUGUGUUUCUAAAUAAUUUUUUGCAAAAGAACCAGUUGUAUAUAUAUCUUAAGCGUAAUGCUUUUGGUUAUAAAAAAAAAAUUAUAUUCGUGAAAUUAAGAGAAAAUUGUAUCACGACAUUGUUGUGUUAAAAAAUUGAACAGAGAAGUAAAAAUUUAUUCAAGUAAGUUUUGAAGGGAGCUGCAAAUGAAUUAAGAAAGAUUAUAUAUAAGAAGAUUUUU